rnacentral:rRNA from 1 species
GAUGAACGCUAGCGGCGUGCAUAACACAUUCAAGUCGAACGGUGAAGUUUCUUCGGAAACGGAUCAGUGGCGGACGGGUGAGUAACGCGUGAGCAACCUGCCUGUUAAAGAGGGAUAACACAUGGAAACGUGUGCUAAUACCGCAUGAAGCAACGAAAUCGCAUGUUUUUGUUGUUAAAGGGUUACCGAUAACAGAUGGGCUCGCGUUGGAUUAGGUAGUUGGUAGGGUAACGGCCUACCAAGCCGACGAUCCAUAGCCGAACUGAGAGGUUGAACGGCCACAUUGGAACUGAGAAACGGCCCAGACUCCUACGGGAGGCAGCAGUGGGGAAUAUUGGGCAAUGGGCGAAAGCCUGACCCAGCGACGUCGCGUGAGGGAAGAAGGUCUUCGGAUUGUAAACCUCUUUCAGCAGGGAAGAAGAAAGUGACGGUACCUGCAGAAGAAGUCACGGCUAACUACGUGCCAGCCGCCGCCGCGGUAA